rnacentral:rRNA from 1 species
GACGAACGCUGGCGGCGUGCUUAACACAUGCAAGUCGAACGAUGAAGCCGGAGCUUGCUCUGGUGAAUUAGUGGCGAACGGGUGAGUAACACGUGAGUAACCUGCCCUUGACUCUGGGAUAACUGCGGGAAACUGUAGCUAAUACCGGAUACGACCCUCGGAGGCAUCUCCUGGGGGUGGAAAGAAUUUCGGUCAAGGAUGGACUCGCGGCCUAUCAGCUAGUGGGUGAGGUCAAGGCUCACCAAGGCGACGACAGGUAGCCGGCCUGAGGGGGUGACCGGCCACACUGGGACUGAGCCACGGCCCAGACUCCUGCGGGAGGCAGCAGUGGGGAAUAUUGCACAAUGGGCGAGAGCCUGAUGCAGCAACGCCGCGUGAGGGAUGAAGGCCUUCGGGUUGUAAACCUCUUUUAGCAGGGAAGAAGCGAAAGUGACGGUACCUGCAGAAAAAGCACCGGCUAACUACGUGCCAGCCGCCGCUGUAA